rnacentral:rRNA from 1 species
AUUGAUCGCUGCCGGCAGGCCUAACACUUGCAAGUCGAACGAGUGGCGGACGGGUGAGUAAUCUCUGGGAAACUGCCCGAUGGUGGGGGAUAACUACUGGAAACGGUAGCUAAUACCGCAUACCCUCGCAUGUGCCCAGAUGGGAUUAGCUAGUCGGUGGGGUAACGGGUCACCUAGGCGACGUUCCCUAGCUGGUCUUAUAGGAUGACCAGCCACACAGGAGCUGGGACACGGUCCAGACUCCUGCGGGAGGCAGCAUGGGGGGAUAUUGCACAAUGGGCGCAAGCCGGAUGCAGCCGUGCCGGGUGUAUGAAGAAGGCCGUCGGGGUGUAAAGUACUGUCAGCGGGGAGGCGUUGCCCGCAGAAGGAGCACCGGGUAGCUCCGUGCCAGCAGCCGCGGUAAUGC